CACAUGCAAGUCGAGGGGCAGCAUAUUUAUAGCAAUAUAGAUGAUGGCGACCGGCGCACGGGUGAGUAACACGUAUCCAACCUCCCUUUUACUCGGGGAUAGCCUUUCGAAAGAAAGAUUAAUACCCGAUAGUAUAUGGUUUUCUCAUGAAGACCCUAUUAAAGAAUUUCGGUAAAAGAUGGGGAUGCGUUCCAUUAGGCAGUUGGCGGGGUAACGGCCCACCAAACCUACGAUGGAUAGGGGUUCUGAGAGGAAGGUCCCCCACAUUGGAACUGAGACACGGUCCAAACUCCUACGGGAGGCAGCAGUGAGGAAUAUUGGUCAAUGGGCGGGAGCCUGAACCAGCCAAGUCGCGUGAAGGAAGAAGGAUCUAUGGUUCGUAAACUUCUUUUGCAGGGGAAUAAAGUGCAGGACGUGUCCUGUUUUGUAUGUACCCUGAGAAUAAGGAUCGGCUAACUCCGUGCCAGCAGCCGCGGUAAUACGGAGGAUCCGAGCGUUAUCCGGAUUUAUUGGGUUUAAAGGGAGCGUAGGCGGACGCUUAAGUCAGUUGUGAAAGUUUGCGGCUCAACCGUAAAAUUGCAGUUGAUACUGGGUGUCUUGAGUACAGUAGAGGCAGGCGGAAUUCGUGGUGUAGCGGUGAAAUGCUUAGA
rnacentral:rRNA from 1 species